rnacentral:rRNA from 1 species
AGCGCAAUCACUUGUCUUUUAAAUGGAGACCUGUAUGAAUGGCAUGACGAGGGCUUGACUGUCUCCUUUUUCUGGUCAAUGAAAUUGAUCUCCCCGUGCAGAAGCGGGGAUAGGGACAUAAGACGAGAAGACCCUGUGGAGCUUUAGACACCAGGGCAGGCUGUGUGAAUAAAACCUGAAUAAGGACCAGAACAAGCAGACGSUGCCCAAAUGUUUUUGGUUGGGGCGACCGUGGGGGAAAAAAUAACCCCCAUGUGGACCGGGAGAACCUCUCCUAGAAGCAAGAACCACAGUUCUAGCUGACAGAACUUCUGACCUACAAGAUCCGGCCAAUGCCGAUAAACGGACAGAGUUACCCCAGGGAUAACAGCGCAUUCCUCUUUGAGAGCCCCCAUCGAUAAGAGGGUUUACGACCUCGAUUUUGGAUCAGGACAUCCUGGUGGUGCAGCCGCUAUAAAGGGUUCGU